rnacentral:rRNA from 1 species
GACGAACGCUGGCGGCGUGCUUAACACAUGCAAGUCGAACGGAAAGGCCAUGCUUUUGUGGGGUGCUCGAGUGGCGAACGGGUGAGUAACACGUGAGUAACAUGUCCUUAACUUUGUGAUAAAAUUAGGAAAAUGGGGCUCAUAUCCGGUAGGAGCUACUGCAGCAUGGGGGGGGAUGGUAAGUUGCGGCGGUUGGGGAUGGACUGGAGGGUUAUCAGCCUGAUGGGGGGGUAGUGGCUUUCCAAGGUUUUGAAGGGUAGCCCGCCUGGGAGGGUGACCGGCGACAAUGGGACUGAGAGACGGCCCAGACUCCUACGGGAGGCAGCAGUGGGGAAUAUUACGCAAUGGGCGGAAGCCUGUUGCAGCGGCGCCGCGUGCGUGAUGACGGCCUACGAGUUGUAAACCGCUUUCGACUGUGACGAAGCGUGAGUGACGGUAAUGGGUAAAGAAGCACCGGCUAACUACGUG